GGGGGGCGUGGUGAGCAGGUCCGGCGGCCCCAGCCCGCCGGCCCGGGAGCCCCUCUGCCGCGCUCCCCGUCCUCUUUGAAGUGACACUUGGGGUUAUUUAUAGGCAGGAAGGGGGUGUGGAGUGGAGCUGGCGCUGCACUUCCCUCUCUUUCUCCGGAUUCACACCGAGGGCUCGUUUGGCCUUCCACGGAGGCGGUGAGGCGGGCACCACCUUCCAUGGACGCGUUGGGGCAGGCACCACUCCACCUUUCCCAGCCCUUGAGACCCUCCAGGAACUCGACUGAGUUAUUGUCAGGGCUUGUGGGUGGAUCUCCACGUCCUGAUCAGGACUACCUGAUCCCUUCAGCCACCGCUCCUCUACUCCCAAGCCCCCAACCUCUUUCCCCUUCCUUCUCCCCCGACAACCGACUCCCCGGGGGCUCUGUACCUCCUGAGAUCUGCAGCUCCUCCAGUGCCGGGCGGCCAACCACAUCUUUACUCUGGGGUGAAAAGUCAGCCCUCCAGGGGGCAGCAGAGCUGGCAGCCCUUCCUCUCAGGACCAAGACCUGAGGUAGUAUGAGACACUGAAAACGGAGGAGAUCUUAUUCCAGGUAUCUGAGAGGUGGCUCAUUGGGGCCGCCUGCCAGUCCUGACAUCUCCCCUUCUUGCCUGCCAUUAAUCUGAGACCCAUGCCAUCUAUCCCUGUGUGGUGAGACCAGCCUGCCUCAAUCAUCCCAGUCAUCAAAGGACUUUGGAGGCCCUCAGGAAUGCUCAGGCAGUGAAAUCUAAACAGUUUGGAGCUGGAGCAUCCUUGUGAUUGGGAACUGAAAGAGGAGGGUGUUGCGCUAGCCUGACCUGGCCCCAGCAUUGCAAACCCUGGAGCUUCCAGGGGGACUCUGGAGUCAGAGAAACCUGGGUGUAAAUCUCCCUUUUGUCAAUGUGGAAGCUGCUGAACAUCUCGGAGGCUCAGUUUUCUCAUUUGUAAGAUGGGCUGAUAAUAAAAGUAUCUACCCGUCUGGAA